ACGCACGCUGGCGGCAUGCCUCACCCAUGCAAGUCGCACGAGACCUUCGGGUCUAGUGGCGCACGGGUGCGUAACGCGUGGGAACCUGCCCUUAGGUUCGGAAUAACUCCCCGAAAGGGGUGCUAAUACCGGAUAAUGUCUUCGGACCAAAGAUUUAUCGCCUUUGGAUGGGCCCGCGUUGGAUUAGCUAGUUGGUAGGGUAAAAGCCUACCAAGGCGACGAUCCAUAGCUGGUCUGAGAGGAUGAUCAGCCACACUGGGACUGAGACACGGCCCAGACUCCUACGGGAGGCAGCAGUGGGAAUAUUGGACAAUGGGCGAAAGCCUGAUCCAGCAAUGCCGCGUGAGUGAUGAAGGCCUUAGGGUUGUAAAGCUCUUUUACCCGGGAUGAUAAUGACAGUACCGGGAGAAUAAGCUCCGGCUAACUCCGUG
rnacentral:rRNA from 1 species